rnacentral:rRNA from 1 species
GACGAACCUGACAAACGUUAUUCGGAAUUACUGGGCUUAAAGGGUGCGUAGGCGGCGCGGUAAGUCGGGUGUGAAAUCUCGGAGCUUAACUCCGAAACUGCAUUCGAUACUGCCGUGCUUGAGGACUGGAGAGGAGACUGGAAUUUACGGUGUAGCGGUGAAAUGCGUAGAUAUCGUAAGGAAGACCAGUGGCGAAGGCGGGUCUCUGGACAGUUCCUGACGCUGAGGCACGAAGGUCAGGGGAGCAAACGGG